rnacentral:miRNA from 1 species
CAAGCAAUGCUUCCCACACUCAUCAGGUGAAUAAAUUAAAUUCACCUGAUGAGUGUGGCAAGCAUUGCUUGUC